rnacentral:rRNA from 1 species
AUUUGCGUCGAAGGUAUACCGGUAAGGAGUGCUGGAGCGAAUAGAAGUGAGCAUGCAGGCAUGAGUAGCGAUAAUUAAUGUGAGAAUCAUUAACGCCGUAAACCCAAGGUUUCCUACGCGAUGCUCGUCAUCGUAGGGUUAGUCGGGUCCUAAGUCGAGUCCGAAAGGGGUAGACGAUGGCAAAUUGGUUAAUAUUCCAAUACCAACAUUAGUGUGCGAUGGAAGGACGCUUAGGGCUAAGGGGGCUAGCGGAUGGAAGUGCUAGUCUAAGGUCGUAGGAGGUUAUACAGGCAAAUCCGUAUAACAAUACUCCGAGAACUGAAAGGCUUUUUGAAGUCUUCGGAUGGAUAGAAGAACCCCUGAUGCCGUCGAGCCAAGAAAAGUUUCUAAGUUUAGCUAAUGUUGCCCGUACCGUAAACCGACACAGGUGGGUGGGAUGAGUAUUCUAAGGCGCGUGGAAGAACUCUCUUUAAGGAACUCUGCAAAAUAGCACCGUAUCUUCGGUAUAAGGUGUGGUUAGCUUUGUAUUAGGAUUUACUCCGAAAGCAAGGAAACUUACAACAAAGAGUCCCUCCCGACUGUUUACCAAAAACACAGCACUCUGCUAACUCGUAAGAGGAUGUAUAGGGUGUGACGCCUGCCCGGUGCUCGAAGGUUAAUUGAUGGGGUUAGCAUUAGCGAAGCUCUUGAUCGAAGCCCGAGUAAACGGCGGCCGUAACUAUAACGGUCCUAAGGUAGCGAAAUUCCUUGUCGGUUAAAUACCGACCUGCAUGAAUGGCGUAACGAGAUGGGAGCUGUCUCAAAGAGGGAUCCAGUGAAAUUGUAGUGGAGGUGAAAAUUCCUCCUACCCGCGGCAAGACGGAAAGACCCCGUGGACCUUUACUACAGCUUGACACUGCUACUUGGAUAAGAAUGUGCAGGAUAGGUGGGAGGCUUUGAGUAUAUGACGCCAGUUGUAUAUGAGCCAUUGUUGAGAUACCACUCUUUCUUAUUUGGGUAGCUAACCAGCUUGAGUUAUCCUCAAGUGGGACAAUGUCUGGUGGGUAGUUUGACUGGGGCGGUCGCCUCCCAAAUAAUAACGGAGGCUUACAAAGGUUGGCUCAGAACGGUUGGAAAUCGUUCGUAGAGUAUAAAGGUAUAAGCCAGCUUAACUGCAAGACAUACAAGUCAAGCAGAGACGAAAGUCGGUCUUAGUGAUCCGGUGGUUCUGUGUGGAAGGGCCAUCGCUCAAAGGAUAAAAGGUACCCCGGGGAUAACAGGCUGAUCUCCCCCAAGAGCUCACAUCGACGGGGAGGUUUGGCACCUCGAUGUCGGCUCAUCGCAUCCUGGGGCUGGAGCAGGUCCCAAGGGUAUGGCUGUUCGCCAUUUAAAGCGGUACGCGAGCUGGGUUCAGAACGUCGUGAGACAGUUCGGUCCCUAUCUGCCGUGGGCGUAAGAAGAUUGAAGAGAUUUGACCCUAGUACGAGAGGACCGGGUUGAACAAACCACUGGUGUAGCUGUUGUUCUGCCAAGAGCAUCGCAGCGUAGCUAAGUUUGGAAAGGAUAAACGCUGAAAGCAUCUAAGCGUGAAGCCAACUCUAAGAUGAAUCUUCUCUAAGCUCUCUAGAAGACUACUAGUUUGAUAGGCUGGGUGUGUAAUGGAUGAAAGUCCUUUAGCUGACCAGUACUAAUAGAGCGUUUGGCUUAUCUUUAAUAAAGCAU